AAGCCAGGGGUGCCAUGUGGCUGAGAUACACCCUUAUGAUCUGAUCUGGUUAAUACCAGCGUAGAGAGGCGAUCAUG
rnacentral:ncRNA from 1 species